AGACUGUUUUCACAUGGAGUUGAUGCACUGGUUUUCAAAGAAUGAACAGGAGUCGUCCAAGUGAAGGGGAGUGGAGAGAGGGAAGGGCAUUCUAAGCAGACAUGCUCACCCCCUGGUUUCGAGGGACCAGUGGGGAAUAUGCCGAGAAGAAAUCUCACAAUAUAUAUAUUUUUAUAUUCUCAGGAUAUCCUAAGAUGCCUAAAACUAAAUUACCACUUGGUAUGAACACAUUAGAUGCUGGGGCUGGGGAGAUUUAAGGGAGUCAUAUUGCUCUGUGCCUUAACGAAGGUAACAGAAAUCACCCAUUACCCACACGGUGAAGUCAGCAGAAUGUUUGGUCCGCCUUCCUCGAGUCCCACCCUUCACCUUGGACACCGUUUUCCUUCUGUCUGCAGGUUAAGUCGCACUCCUGGGUGAAAAUGAGCAUCAUUCCGAGACGCAGCACAGGCUUCAGCGACAUAGAAGAGCCGCAAGAGGGCGCUGCUCCCUUCAGCUUGUGGUUUGACAAAUUUCAUGUUCCUGCGCACAUCUCUUUGUUCCAGCCUGCGGCCUGAUCUUGUCGAGCAGUUUGCCCUGUUAACACGUGAGUCAAGAUUUUGUAGAAGAUCCCACCAAAGGAUCAAGCACAUAAAGAAACAUACCUCUUGGUUUGGGGUAUCUCUCAACAAAACCUUCUACUUCUUCUCAGCCAGCCAUGCUGUCCGCUUCCUGCUCAGGACUUGUGAUCUUGUUGAUAUUCAGAAGGACCUAUGGAGACUCGGUGACCCAGACAGAAGGUCCAGUCACCCUCCCUGAGGGGGCAGCUCUGACAUUAAACUGCACUUAUGAGAGCAGGUAUACAGUUUUUCUAUUCUGGUAUGUCCAGUAUCUAAACAAAGAACCUCAGCUCUUCCUGAAAAGCUCAGAAAACCAGGAGAUGGACAGCAGAGGUUUUCAGGCCAGUCAUGUCAAGAGUGACAGUUCCUUCCACCUGGAGAAGCCCUCCGUGCAGCUGUCGGACUCCGCGGUGUACUACUGUGCUCUGAGAGGCACAGUGGGAGGGACUGCAGCGAGAGCGCAGCACAAAACCCCGGGGCCUGGGUGGGGCCUGGGUGUGAGCGCUUUGGGAGGCAGCAUUAUUUUCCCUCUCUGGGGUUCUAUGCUGGAGGCUUCCUCCAAGUAUUUCCAGCUCUGAUUCUUCAGUGCCAAGGAAUCAUGGAGAUCUUGGAUUCCUCCCCACAGAGGAAUUGGGGGUGGGGGGGGAACAGUCUAAAGCAGAACCUAAGCUCUGUUAUCAGAGAAAUGCCUCUGUCCUCAGCCCAGAUGUCUCUUCUUCCCCGAGAUGGCAUACAUUCCUGAUAAGUGACAUUAACUUUGCUACGUGACAGUUCAGUUGGUCUGUGGUGAAAUACUUCACAACCUGUUUAUACAAACUCUAAGGGAAAACAGUUCGUGGACUAAAUGUGCCACCUUGAAUCUACUCUCUUGUGUUUACAAUUGAGACCAAGGUUGUUUGUCUUGCUGAGUUCCACCUGCAGAAACUCCAUCUCCAGCGACUGCGGCAUUGAUCCUCUCUUCCCUUGACUUUUCCAUCUCUUCUGGUUGCUUACAAAUUCUGCUACCUGAGUAAGUUCUAUGAGGAGAGUGUCCUGAUGAGAGGUUUAACUUGUGUCAUCGGCACUGUGGUUUCUGAACAGCCCAGUCAGUAAAGGCUGCGUCCAUGGCAUGUUGUGCCCACACUGCUUACACCCCUCCGCGCCGAUCUUCCUGUUGACCUGGCAGCUGUUUAUUGUAACACUAAAUCGUGACCUGGAUUUCUGACUUGAGGAUCUGUGUUAUGAGAAAUUCCGGAUUUGGGACAUGACUUUAACUGCAGGAACGAACGUAUUAUUUUUAUCAUUGCAUUUAUGCCCAUGAACCUUCUAAAGUGCAUCAAAUUUAGCAGCCAAGAAAGACUGUUUAUAAAAAGGGAGAAUGAACAUGGACUCUUGUCCACUGGGACCCCCAAAUGGAUAAAAUAAUCUCAUAUUUCUCUACAUCAAAGAGCACAAAACAGAAAUGUGUCCCCCUCACUGAAACUGUUGGGAUGUAGCUCACCAUGAGAAACUUUUCCUAAUAUUCUGGAGCCCUGUGAGCCUUGUUUGUCUUUUACGUAUCCUGCAUGAUUCUGUGAGUUUUACACAUAAAGAUACAGGUUUUGUGGGGCCUGAUGCUUCUUUGAUUUCUGGGGCUCUCUUUAAGAAAAAGAAAAUUAAAUUAUGAAUAUAAGUUUCUAGGUACUGAGGUAGAAAGAAGCCCUAAAAUCAAAACCUAAUAUGCUUCAUGGUAAAUCUGCAUUUGGAGUUCCAUAGAGAUCAUCUUCUUUAAGACUGAAAUAUUAUAAUAGUCUCAGUUUGUCCUGAUAGUGGGAGGUUCCCUAACCCCCAGUCCUCUUUUCCACAGCAGCACUAGGAUCGCUUUAGCCAUCAUUAAUAUGAGUAUUUUCACCUCCAUCAUAAAAAAAUAGCAUUAUUGGGAUAUAAUUCGCAUACCUUAAACUGCAUCUUUUAAGACUGUAAUCCAGUGGUUUUAGAAUAUUCACAGUUAUCCAAUCAUUAUUGUGAUCUAAUUCCAGAACAUUUUCACCACCUCACAAAGAAAUUCUGUGCCCACAAGC